GAUGAACGCUGGCGGCGUGCCUAAUACAUGCAAGUCGAGCGAACGGACGAGAAGCUUGCUUCUCUGAUGUUAGCGGCGGACGGGUGAGUAACACGUUGAUAACCUACCUAUAAGACUGGGAUAACUUCGGGAAACCGGAGCUAAUACCGGAUAAUAUUUUUAACCGCAUGGUUCAAAAGUGAAAGACGGUCUUGCUGUCACUGAUAUAUGGAUCCGCGCUGCAUUAGCUAGUUGGUAAGGUAACGGCUUACCAAGGCAACGAUGCAUAUCCGACCUGAGAGGGUGAUAGGCGACACUGGAACUGAGACACGGUCCAGACCCCUACGGGAGGCAGCAGUAGGGAAUCUUCCGCAAUGGGCGAAAGCCUGACGGAGCAACGCCGAGUGAGUGAUGAAGGUCUUCGGAUCGUAAAACUCUGUUAUUAGGGAAGAACAUAUGUGUAAGUAACUGUGCACAUCUUGACGGUACCUAAUCAGAAAGCCACGGCUAACUACGUG
rnacentral:rRNA from 1 species